rnacentral:rRNA from 1 species
AUGCAUUAUCUAUGCCCGGUGAGACAAAAGGAAACAGUAGUUAAUCAAGAGGUAGUCUUAGGAUUAAUUUCUGGACCAACAAACAUUAAGAAACGUUCACCACCGCACGCUGCCGAAGCAGAAACAAACACGAGUUCAAGCGACUACUACUUGGUAGUACAGAGCAAACCCAAAAUGAAACGCAGGUCCAACGUUGCCACAACAAACAAGCCGACGCGCAAGGCAUCCCACCGUGGAAAUGGAUGCCUGGAUCACGAAGCGCCAGGGCGAUCUUCACUUCAGCUAGUCGUCCAGAGUAAAAGGAGCUGCCGGCUGCUCAGGGGCCUUGCGCUUCGGAGAGGAAGACGGAGCAGGAUC